UACGUAGGCAGCGAGCGUUGUUCGGAGUUACUGGGCGUAAAGGGUGUGUAGGCGGUUGUUUAAGUUUGGUGUGAAAUCUCCCGGCUCAACUGGGAGGGUGCACCGAAUACUGAAUGACUAGAGUGCGGGAGAGGAAAGUGGAAUUCCUGGUGUAGCGGUGAAAUGCGUAGAUAUCAGGAGGAACACCGGUGGUGUAGACGGCUUUCUGGACCGUAACUGACGCUGAGACACGAAAGCGUGGGUAGCAAACAGG
rnacentral:rRNA from 1 species